rnacentral:tRNA from 1 species
GGAGAGGUGGGAGAGUGGCUGAAUCCACCGGUUUGCUAAACCGGCGUACUGGGAAACCGGUACCGGGGGUUCGAAUCCCCCUCUCUCCG